GAGACCCACGCCAACAGUUGCCAGCACGUUCUCCGGAAUGGUGGGGACACUGUUGGGACCGCCUCUGCUAAAGAGGAGGAAGGAAUGGGCAACGGUAGGUCAGCAUGCCCCGAAUUACCCGGGCUACACGCGGGCUACAAUGGACAGGACAAUGGGAAUCGACACCGAAAGGUGAAGGCAAUCCCCUAAACCUGCCCUUAGUUCGGAUUGUGGGCUGCAACUCGCCCACAUGAAGCUGGAAUCCGUAGUAAUCGCGGAUCAACAUUCCGCGGUGAAUAU
rnacentral:rRNA from 1 species